GCUUGCUUUGGCAGUGCAUAUUCUAAAAUUGGAAUGAUACAGAGAUUAGCAUGGUCCCUGCACAAGGAUGACACACAACUUCAUGAAAGAUUUCAUAUUUUU